GUCCGAUUGGCGCAGUGGCAGCGUUCUCGGUUUGGGUAUUAAUGAAUUACUGAUUCCGAGAGGUCCGGGGUUCGAACCCCCGAUCGGACC